GAGCAGAAUUGGGUGAUUUUGGUGAACUUCCUUUCAUUGCUGCUUUGCAUGCUGAAAAUGGAGGCUGUGGCUAUUGUUCUGCGAUAGUUUACACUCAACUGGCUGAUGGUUGUGAUCUUCUCUGAUGAGCUACUGGGAAUGUGGAAAAUCUGGCCUUCAACUGGAGAAGUCAGCCUCUCACAGGACCCUUCUUCAGCUCAAGAAACUGUAUUGGCGGCAUGAAGACAUAGAUCAAGAAAAGAGUUUCUCAUCUGUAUAACUUGCAACUAAAUUUACAGAAAUUCAUUUCUAUAUCACUUUGAUGGAAAAAGAUGCAUUUAAUUCCUAGGCUAAAGCUCCAAACCCAUGUUCAUAAUUUUGGGUGUUUUUAUUUCUUGACUGGAAUGAUCCUCUCUCUCACCAGAUAAACAGUGAUUACAGUGUUCAUACCAAUUCAUGUCAAGACAGGAAGAUUGUUUGAAACAAUCCAUGUCAUGUUUAAUACACUAAGCCUAUGAGUGGUGCCAUGGAGUUUAUUUUGCAAAUGCACAAAAUCUGCUUACAAUAAAAAGUCUGAGUCUGAAAGCAGAUAUUUUUUAAGGUAGCCCUAAGCAACCACAACAUAGUAACUACUGAGAAACACAACACAAAAAACAAAUAGAUGUCUAGAAGUGCUACUGAGUGAAACAAAAAAAAGGCAAGGGUGUCCUUUUGUCAACCUCCUCUAUGCGCUGGAAUGAAAAAAGUACAUUUGAGUCAGAAUCAAAGACAGGGAAACUGCUGGGUCUGCUCUCAACAUGCCUUUGAACCAGCCUAAGCAUGCCUCAGUCUAGCUGGGAGACGUGCAUAUACUGGCUUGAGGAUUUCACAACUGGGAAAAUGAGGGAGCCUUUAGUUUGUGUAUUUUGUUUAGCUAAAUAUAGCACCACACAUAACUUGUGAAAAAGGGUUUUGAACCUUUGAAUCUUCAUGUAGCUUUCAAAAGCAAGACAGAGAAACACUGACUGGUUCAUCUUUCCAGUCAAGGGGCUAGGAAAGCAAACAACUUUCUGUUAGGUGCUACUUUUUAAAUGGGAUCUUUUCAAUGUAAACGCUACAAGAUCUUCCCGUGGGGUUGCAAUAAUUCCCCAGUGGACUAGAACUAUAUCCACUAGGACGUCCUGGUCACCAUUUUUGGGAGGUGCCAUGAUACAAUUAUUAGUAUCUACCCUCAGGUCAGGAGACGGAGGAGCCACCGGGCAGUCAGUGCAACUAUGCAAUACAAAAUAGAAAUAAUAUGCUAAUACAAAACAGAAAUAAAGGCACAGUUUCCACAGUGGAGAAGAGUCCAAUGUGAGUAGCUUGGAAAAAAUCAAAAACCUUGAACAGAAUGAAGAAAAGAAUUAGGUCACUGAGUCUGAGCCAGGAAAAAAUACACACAAGAGGAAAUUAGAACAGCAGAAGUAUUUCAUAUUAGCUCAUCCAAAGAUUUAACGUGCAUGGGCAGCAUUAUGUUCUGUCUUCUGGAAAGCUAUUAUGGGCAGGAAAGAUUGUUAGGAAUUUUUAUGCCAUCUCCACAAUGUAACCAGUCCUACCCAACAAAUUACAUAUGUGGCAGUAUACAUUUGAUAUGAGAUAGCCUUUCAGCCUGAAAGCUGAAUGCUGAAUUUGCCUUAAUGAGAAACAGCACAAAGCCUGCUUGUUAACCCUUUUAAUACUGUACAUUACACACAACCAUCAAGAUUGAAAAUAAAUACUCAACAUUGUUAUUC